rnacentral:rRNA from 2 species
CUCUAACAGAAUUUAUUGUUAGUAAAACCUGCUCAGUGAAAUAUUCAACAGCCGCAGAUAUCCUGUGCUAAGGUAGCAUAAUCAUUUGCCUUUUAAUUGGAGGCUAGAAUGAACGGCUUAACAUGUAAAUUACUUUAUUAAAUAAAUUAUUUUAAAUUAAUUUAUAAGUAAAAAAGCUUAUAUAUAUAGAAGGACGACAAGACCCUGACAAACUUUAACUUACAAGUUUUGCUGGGGUGGCAAUAAAUUUAAAUCUUUUAUAAACUUUCAUCAACAUCUUCCAACCGGAAAUUUUAACAAGUUACUGCAGGGAUAACAGCAUAAUUUUUCCUCAGAGACCUUAUCAAAGGAAAAGAUUAUGACCUCGAUGUUGAAUAGAAAUAUUCUUAAGGGCAAGACCUUAAAAAAUAAGUCUGUUCGACUUUUAAUAUUCUACA